AUUGAACGCUGGCGGCAUGCCUUACACAUGCAAGUCGAACGGCAGCACGGGAGCAAUCCUGGUGGCGAGUGGCGAACGGGUGAGUAAUAUAUCGGAACGUGCCCAGUCGUGGGGGAUAACGCAGCGAAAGCUGUGCUAAUACCGCAUACGAUCUCUGGAUGAAAGCGGGGGACUCGCAAGGGCCUCGCGCGAUUGGAGCGGCCGAUAUCAGAUUAGCUAGUUGGCGGGGUAAAGGCCCACCAAGGCGACGAUCUGUAGCUGGUCUGAGAGGACGACCAGCCACACUGGAACUGAGACACGGUCCAGACUCCUACGGGAGGCAGCAGUGGGGAAUUUUGGACAAUGGGCGCAAGCCUGAUCCAGCAAUGCCGCGUGCAGGAUGAA
rnacentral:rRNA from 1 species